rnacentral:tRNA from 1 species
CAGUAGGUAGUUUAUUAAAAAUAUUAAUUUUGGAGAUUAAUGAUGAGGUUUUCCUUUCUACUGA